rnacentral:rRNA from 1 species
GACGAACGCUGGCGGCGUGCUUAACACAUGCAAGUCGAACGAUGAAGCCGGAGCUUGCUCUGGUGAAUUAGUGGCGAACGGGUGAGUAACACGUGAGUAACCUGCCCUUGACUCUGGGAUAACUGCUAGAAAUGGUAGCUAAUACCGGAUACGACCCUCGGAGGCAUCUCCAGGGGGUGGAAAGAAUUUCGGUCAAGGAUGGACUCUCGGCCUAGCAGCUAGUUGGUGAGGUAACGGCUCGCCAAGGCGCCGACGGGUAGCGGGCCUGAGAGGGUGACCGGCCACACUGGGACUGAGACACGGCCAAGACUCCUACGGGAGGCAGCAGUGGGGAAUAUUGCACCAGGGGCGCAAGCCUGAUGCAGCAACGCCGCGAGAGGGAUGCCGGCCUUCGGGUUGUAAACCUCUUUUAGUAGGGAAGAAGCGAAAGUGACGGUACCUGCAGAAAAAGCACCGGCUAACUACGUGCCAGCCGCCGCCGUAA